rnacentral:lncRNA from 1 species
UAACGUGUUGAUUUCAGACUCAAUGCCCAAGCAGUUAGGUGUUGAUUUCAGACUCCUCCGGUAGAGCUAACAACAAAUCAGUGAGUUGUCUUGUGUUACCAAGUUUCAAGACAUUGAAUCCUUCACGAUAUUUUGGUGGGAGAGACAACUGCUUCCAAGGAACAAUCUCCCAGCCAAGGCACCAACAAAGAGCAAAAAAAUUAGUAGAAGAUAUGCACAAAAGGCCAUCAAAGCCAUAAGACAAAAAAAACAAAGUUAUAGACAGUACCAUUCAGCCAUGAUUCUUCCAACUUCCAAGCUAAUUACUGCAAUGGAUGAGGAAAACUAGAAACUAAGAACAACAUAUCUAAAGGAAUAUCCUCAUUAUUUUAUUUGAAUACUGAAGAUAUAGCAAAAUUAUUGAUGCAAUAUGUGUGCAAAAGAGACUGCUUUCAAAUUCACUUGCUCUAGAACUGCCUGCUUUUUAUUGAUCUUUGGAUACAAAUUUGCAGGUGCCGAAAAAAGGUGAGUCUCAGAUCUGCAGAAACGAUCAGGCAAAGAGAAGGUAACCGUGCCAUGGCUGCAAAACACCAGUCGUGCACCGUGCAUGCGAAAGAGGACUCAAAUCACCAGUCAAUAUUCCACUGAUUUGCCAAGCCCAGAUAUGGGUUAGUAGCCUCAACGCUGAAAUUGUUUAUCCCCAUCAUCAUCACGCCCAAAAACAUUCAUUUGCUUGGUUUGCACACAGACAAACAUAUUCAUUAUUUGCGAGGAACUACAAACACGGUAACAGAAAUAAAAGCAAGAAAAAAAAAAGGAAAGCAAAUCAUAUGCUUACCAGAGAAGGAAGGGAACCACCAUCACGAAAAUCCCACAUUUCACUCAAAUGCCUCAUUCUUGACCUAUUACGGAUAAAAGAUUUGGCAACACAUUACGAGGGAACAACAAUAUAACUUCACUUGUAUGCAAAAAGGUGUGGGUUCGAUAUAUUCCAUAUACAAGCAUAAAAAAAAUAUACUUUCCUUAGCAAAUUGAGGCUCAGAUAUAAGGCAAAAGAGAAGUCAACGAUGCCAUGGCUGCAAAACAUUGGUUGUGUGUGUGAGAGAAGAAACUCUUAUCACAGGUAGCAUAAUGCCAGGUAGACACUUUUAGCAAUCACAGCCAUACUGGAUUGCCACGCCAAGAUACGGAUCAGAUCGUCUCCAUGCCUGAACUGGUUAGCCCAGAUUUAGAAAAAGUUAUCAUCACUGCCUUUUUUAGAGUCCAAAGUCAUAAAGGAGACAGACUGAAGAAACAAGGAAACUGAAGUGUUUGGCUUUUGAGUAUGUAUCACAACAACAGGACCCAAAGAAACCAAGAAACUGAAGUUGAUAUAUUUUCUCUUUUUCUUUUUUUUAAGGGCUGUUGGUUUAUUGAGAAGGGGAGAAUCAUAGGCAAAGCAGAGAGGGGCAACCACCCUUGAAAGAAAUCCCAUACUCUCUGCUGCCUCAUACUCGUCAUUUCUGCUAAAAUAAGAGACUUCGUUUAGAUGAGAGCUUUUAACUGAAGAGACCUCACAAGUCUGCAUUUAAGAGAAUUCACAACUUCAACUGCAACAAUGUCCAAACGCCUACUUAUGUUCUUCAACAAAUUGAGGCUCAGAUGCAUGUAAUGAUAUGGCAAAAGAGAAGCCAGUCUCACCAUGGCUGCAAAACACCGAUUGCAUGAGAGGGAGAGAAGUUCUCAACAGGCCACACCGGGUUGCCACGCCAAGAUACGGGUCGGUUCAUCUCAAUGUUCCAUGAUCAGCACAGAACUACAAGAUACAUAAGCAUCAUCAUAGCCCCUUUCUGUAGCAGAAUGCAUCAUAAGGGAACACUUUCCAGUUUCCACUAACAAUAAGAGAAAAUGGGAACAAAUAUGCAAAGAGCCAAGAGAAGACAGACUGAAGAACUGAAGGUGGCGUAAUUGUUGUGGUAUACUUGAAAACUGGGGAAAUUUCAUGAAUGAUCAUCCAGAAAACCAGAAACUGAAGUACUAUGUUGCUCUUUCUUUCUCUUAAAGGCUGUUGGUUUGUUGAGAAGGGGAGAAUCAUAGGCAAAGCAGACAGGGGCAACCGCCCUUGAAAAAAAUCCCAUACUCUCUGCAUCCUCAUUCCUCUAUUUCUGGGCUAACCUAAUAAAUGGAAUUCGCUUAUAAGAGAGCUUAAAACGAAAAAACCUCAAAAUUCUGCAUUUAAAAGAGAAUUUCUCAGCUUCAACAGUCUUUUCAGCUCAAGAGGAAAAUGUAUGAUGAUUUUCACAAACAACAAUCUUCACAGUCUCUAAAAAGUGGAACAGAGGGAGUAAUAAAUAAAUCAAUCAACUAAGGAUGAAUUUGCAAUUAAAAAACUUCCAUUUGAGAGAUCAUUGGCAGCAGAGAAUGACAGAGAGGGGUAAAACAACCCAUAGGAACUCUCCACAGCUCUCUGUUUUCACCACAACCUCAGACUUGUACUAAGAAGAGUUCCUAGAAAAUGAGGCUCAGAUCUGUGGUAUAUCCCUGGGAAAAAGAGAUCCAAUGACGCCAUGGCUGCAAAAACCACCAGAAAAUCUGGGGUUAUACCCUGCCAAGAUAUAAACUGGAUAAUCACAAGUGUUCGAUUAUUAAGCUCACAAGGGAAUGAUAAGUUGCUAAAAUCAUCAUUGCCUCUUUAAUGCCGUCAAUCAUAUUGGCAUAACUUGUGUCUAAACCAAAUGAAUAAGAGCUUGUUUGGAUGGUUGUUAACCAUUGUAUUGUAUUGUAAUGUUACUUUAGAUAGGCCAAUACAUAGAUAGCCCCUCAAACUUGCCAUGAAUUGUCAGUUGGACAGUGAUCACUUUCAACUUGACAGAUGCAAAAAGAGAUUCGACAUCGCCAUGGCUGCAAAAACCACCAGAAAAACUAGCGGCAUGCCCUGCCAAGAUACGGGUCGGAUAAUCUCAAAUGCCCAAUUAAUAAGCUCAGAAGGGAAUGAAAGAUUGAUAAAAUCAUCUUCUCUCACCAUUGACAAUUUAAACAUCAGCUUCAAAGUAUCCCAUUUAUGCAGUUUUUUCUAAUUUCCCAGAAAUUAAGCUCAAGCAAACAGAGAUCCGAUGACAACAUGGCUGCAACAACCACCAGAAAAAUAUGAACAUGGUUAACUAACAUAAAUGCAAGACUUGAAAAAAAAAUCAGGGGAUUACCGGAGAAGGGAGGCAACCACCCCUCAAAAAUCCAACAUUUCAUUCAAAUGCCUCAUUCUUGAGCAGUUACUUAUCAAAAGAUGGAGAUACAUUAUGAAUUAAAAGCAUUAAAACUGCAAAUCAGAAGGGCGUGGGUUCAAUAUAUCCCACAUUAAUCAUGGAAAAGAUAUUUCCCCUUAUGCAUAGUAAAAGGGUAAAUUUGACCCUUUUCCCUUUUUUCUUUAGCAAAUCGAGGCUCAGAUUUGUGAAAUGACAAGGCAAAAGAGAAGCCAACCAUGCCAUGGGUGCAACACACAAUUGCAUGUGUGAGUUAUGCGUCUCAAUUACAGGCCAAACCGGGUUGUCACGCCAAGAUACGGGUUGGGUAAUCUCCAUGCCCGGAAUUUGGUUAGCCCAGAAAUCAUCACUGCCUCUUUAAUAGUUUUCGUAGUCAUUUUAUUGUUGUUGUUGUAGUAUAGUUGUGCGUAUUGCCUUAUGAGCAUACGUUUAAGGGUGCAAAAUGCAAAAAUACCCAGAAACUCAAUUGUACUCUCUCUGUCUCUUUCUUUUUAAAGGGCUGUUGGUUUGUUUUGAGAAAUGGAGAAUCAUAAGUAAAGCAUAGAGAGAAGGGCAACCACCCUUGAUAGAAAUCCCAUACUCUCUGCCGCCUCAUUCUUGCCGUUUUUAGGCUAACCUAACAAAAGGGAAUUCACAAGACUUCAAGCAUCUUUCGGCUAAUUCUUUCUCCUAAGGUUCAGAUUUGUUAUAAAACCAGGCAAAAGGAGACAAAUCAAUCGCCAUGGCUGCAGACCUCAGUUGCAAAAUGGAAUACCUUACUGGGUUGCCCCGCCAAGAUACGUGCAGCUCCAAUACCCAACCCAACUCAACUCUAUACAACUUCAUUUGUUAUCAUCACAGCCUCAUAGGAAGAAGGAGAAGUAGUAGUAGUAGUAGUGUGCUUCAGUUCACUUUAAUAUGGACUAGAGAGAGUAUAUUUUAGCUCAACAGCACAUAAUAUAAGCCAGCAAUCCAAACACGCUCGUAUAUGUGAUUAGACCUUUUUCAACUAUGGUGGUUUUGGUGAAAUUUUGAAAAGGAAAUCAUCAGCGGAAGAACAGAGAGAGGGCAACCACCAUUAAAGACUCCCCAAUGCCUCUCCAUCACCUCAUUUUUUCCGUCUAGAGUUGCAGAACACACUUACUUUAGGUCAUUUUGUUCAAAUGCCUAAACAGUCUUUUAGCUCUAGAGGAAAAUGUCUGAUUCAUCUUUCACAAACAACAAUCUUCAUAGCCUCCAAAAAGUGGAACAGAGGGAGUAAUAAAUCAAUCAACUAAGGGUGGUUUUGCAAUUGGAAACACUUUUAUUUGAGAGAUCAUUGGCAGCAGAGAAUGACAGAGAGGGGCAAAACCACCCAUAAAAACUCUCCACAGCUCUCUGUUUUAACCGCAACCUCAGAUUUAUACAAAGAAGAGUUUCCAGAAAAUGAGGCUCAGGAUCUGUGUUACAUUCCGGGCAAAAAGAGAUCCAACGACGCCAUGGCUGCAAAAAUCACCAGAAAAUCUGGGGUUAUGCCCAGCCAAGAUACGAGCCAGAUAAUCUCAAAUGUCCGAUUAAUAAGCUCAUAAAGAAAUGAAAGGUUGCUAAAAUCAUCAUUGCCUCUUUAAAGCCGUCAAUCAUACUAGCAUAACUUGUAUCUAAACCGAACGAAUCAAUAACAACUUGUUUGGAUGGUUGCUACCCAUUGUAUUGUAUUGUAUUGUUACUUCAGAUAAUGGGACCAUAUAUUUAUAUAGGGGACUUCCAAAAAUAUAUUAUCUUAUCGAAAUCAGUCAUUUUUUCCACUGGCCCAAGCCAGGGCAGGAGAAAAAUAUUAUUUGAGAGAGUAUAUUAAUUUAUCGAGUAUCAAUUUUUAGAGAGGUUUUACUGUAGUUUAUAUUCUCGGAGCCCUUGAAAUAGAGAGCAUCUUAGUAGUGUGAGUAUUUUAACUUCUCCUGAAAAGGGUGUGGGUUCAAUAUCUCCCACAUUUAUCAUGGAAAAGAUAUUGCCCCCUAUGCAUGGUCAUGGUGAAGGGGUAAAUUUGACCCUUUUCCCUUUUUUCUUAAGCAAAUUGAGGCUCAGAUUUGUGUUAUGAUAAGGCAAAAGAGAAGUCAACCACGCCAUGGCUGCAACACACGAUUGCAUGAGUGAGGUCUCAAUUACAGGCCAUAUCGGUUGCCACGCCAAGAUACGGGGUGGGUAAUCUCCAUGCCCGAAAUUCAGUUAGCCCAGAAAUCAUCACUGCCUCUUUAAUAGUUUUCAUAGUCAAUAGUCAUGCGGUUGUUGUAGCAUAGUUGUGUGUAUUGCCUUAUGAGCAUACGUUUGGGUGCAAAAAUGCAAAGAAACCCAGAAACUCAAGUGUAUCUCUCUGUCUCUUUCUCUUUUAAGGGCUGUUGGUUUGCUUUGAGCAAUGGAGAAUCACAGGCAAAGCAUAGAGAGAAGGGCAACCACCCUUGAUAGAAAUCCCAUACUCUUUACUGCCUCAUUCUUGUCUUUUUUAGGCUAACCUAACAAAAAGGAAUUCACAAGAAUCAAGGUCUUUCAGCCAAUUCUUUCUCCUGAGGUUCAGAUUCAUUAUAAAACCAGUCAAAAGGAAACAAAACAACCGCCAUGGCUCCAAUGCCCAAGCUAACUCUAUACAACUUUAUUUGUUAUCAUCACAUCCUCAUCUUAUAAUUAAAAGCUAGCAACGGUACAUAUACCUUACCCCGGUCCUUUUUGGGGACUAGAGAAGUUGUUUCCAAUAGACUCAGCUCAAGAAAAUCAGAGUCCAGAACCUAACUGACUGGAAGAAAAAAACAACAGAAACUAGUGUGUACUCCAUCUUUCUCUCUUUCUCUUUAUUAAGGGCUGUUGGUUUGUUUAGAAAAUGGAAGAAUCAUAAGCAAAGCAGAGAGAAGGGCAACCACCCUUGAUUAGAAAUCCCAUUACUCUCUCUGCUGCCUCAUUCUGAGCUAUUCUAACAAAAAGGGGUUCACAAAUAAUUACUUGCCAAAACUGAAAUGGUUUUUUCUUUUGAGGUUCUAAGCAACCGCAAUGGCUGCAGACCUCAGUUUGCAAAACAAUAGAAAUGCCUUACCGGGUCGCCCCGCCAAGUACGUGCAGCUCCAAUACCCGGCCCAAUUCCAUUUGUCAUCGUUACAGCAUCAACAAGUGAAGAAGCAGAAGCAGUUUUCAAAAGUGUUAAUAGGCUCAGAUCUGUAAUACAAAAUCAAGCAAAAAAGGAGACAAAGCAACCGCCAUGGCUGCAGACCUCAGUUAGCAAAACAAUGGAAAUGUCUUAUACCGGGUCGUCGCCCCGCCAAGAUACGGGCUAACUCCAAUAUGCCUGACCCAACUCUAGAAAACUUCAUUAGAGAGCUCAACAUUUAGCCAAUCCAAACAAGCUCUUAGUAUAGAUGAUAAGACCAUUUUCAAGUAUGGUGGUUUUGGUGAAACUUAGAAAAGGGAAAUCAUCGGCUGAAGAACAGAGAGAGGGCAACCACCAUUAUAAACUCCCCAAUGCCUCUCCAUCCCCUCAUUUUUUCCCAUCCAGAGUUUCAGAACACAAUCUUU